GGGCCCGUAGAGGAGCCUGGUUGUCCUCAGCUCCCUGUCACGGAGCGAAUCGUGGGUUCAAAUCCCAUCGGGCCCG
rnacentral:tRNA from 1 species